GCACUGCAAACGGAGUAUGUGUGAAACGGGCGUUGACCUUCAGUGUAAAUCGGCCAGAAGUUAUGAUAAGUGAUAAACAGUGGCAGUUCACAUUCCUCCCGAAGGCAUGGGCUUUGGAGGUGAUAAGAGGUAUGGUAGGAGUUUUUAGUUGUUAAGCUUGUCCUACCUGCAGA